rnacentral:rRNA from 1 species
AGAGUUUGAUCAUGUCUCAGAUUGAACGUUGGCGGCAGUCCUCAUACAUGCAAGUCGAACGAGAAAACCCCUUCGGGGGCGAGUAAAGUGGCGGACGGGUGAGUAACGCGUAGGAAUCUACCCGAUAGUGGGGGACAACCCGAGGAAACUCGGGCUAAUACCGCAUACUAUCCACGGAUGAAAGUGGGGGACCUCAACGCACUGGCUUCGGCCGGAGCGCGGCCUCACGCUAUCGGAGGAGCCUGCGUUGGAUUAGCUUGUUGGUGAGGUAAAGGCUCACCAAGGCUACGAUCCAUAGCUGGUCUGAGAGGACGAUCAGCCACACUGGGACUGAGACACGGCCCAGACGGCUACGGUCGGCAGCAGUAGGGAAUAUUGUGCAAUGGGCGAAAGCCUGACACAGCCAUGCCGCGUGUGUGAAGAAGGCCUUAGGGUUGUAAAGCACUUUCAGUGGCGAAGAAAAGCCUCCGGUUAAU